rnacentral:tRNA from 1 species
UGUCCAGGGAUGGGAAUCGAACCCAGAGUAUUCCGCUUACCGGGCAGAUGCCAUGUCCACUAGGCUUCCUAUCCCUUGAC